UACGUAGGGUGCGAGCGUUGUCCGGAAUUAUUGGGCGUAAAGAGCUCGUAGGCGGUGUGUCGCGUCGGUUGUGAAAGCCCGGGGCUCAACCCCGGGUUGGCAGUCGAUACGGGCAGGCUGGAGUACGGCAGGGGAGACUGGAAUUCCUGGUGUAGCGGUGAAAUGCGCAGAUAUCAGGAGGAACACCGGUGGCGAAGGCGGGUCUCUGGGCCGAUACUGACGCUGAGGAGCGAAAGCGUGGGGAGCGAACAGG
rnacentral:misc_RNA from 1 species